rnacentral:rRNA from 1 species
GACAGAGGGUGCAAACGUUGUUCGGAUUUACUGGGCGUAAAGCGCACGUAGGCGGAUCGUUAAGUCGGGGGUGAAAUCCUGGAGCUCAACUCCAGAACUGCCUUUGAUACUGAAGAUCUUGAGUUCGGGAGAGGUGAGUGGAACUGCGAGUGUAGAGGUGAAAUUCGUAGAUAUUCGCAAGAACACCAGUGGCGAAGGCGGCUCACUGGCCCGAUACUGACGCUGAGGCACGAAAGCGUGGGGAGCAAACAGG